UACGAAGGGGGCUAGCGUUGUUCGGAAUUACUGGGCGUAAAGCGUGUGCAGGCGGAUCUUUAAGUUGGGGGUGAAAUCCCGAGGCUCAACCUCGGAACUGCCUUCGAUACUGAAGAUCUUGAGUCCGGGAGAGGUGAGUGGAAUUGCGAGUGUAGAGGUGAAAUGCGUAGAUAUUCGGAAGAACACCAGUGGCGAAGGCGGCUCACUGGCCCGGUACUGACGCUGAGGUGCGAAAGCGUGGGGAGCAAACAGG
rnacentral:rRNA from 1 species